rnacentral:rRNA from 1 species
ACACAUGCAAGUCGAACGAAGCACUUAUCUUUGAUUCUUCGGAUGAAGAGGUUUGUGACUGAGUGGCGGACGGGUGAGUAACGCGUGGGUAACCUGCCUCAUACAGGGGGAUAACAGUUAGAAAUGACUGCUAAUACCGCAUAAGACCACAGAGCCGCAUGGCUCAGUGGGAAAAACUCCGGUGGUAUGAGAUGGACCCGCGUCUGAUUAGGUAGUUGGUGGGGUAACGGCCUACCAAGCCAACGAUCAGUAGCCGACCUGAGAGGGUGACCGGCCACAUUGGGACUGAGACACGGCCCAAACUCCUACGGGAGGCAGCAGUGGGGAAUAUUGCACAAUGGGGGAAACCCUGAUGCAGCGACGCCGCGUGAGCGAAGAAGUAUUUCGGUAUGUAAAGCUCUAUCAGCAGGGAAGAAAAUGACGGUACCUGACUAAGAAGCACCGGCUAAAUACGUGCCAGCAGCCGCGGUAAUACGUAUGGUGCAAGCGUUAUCCGGAUUUACUGGGUGUAAAGGGAGCGUAGACGGCUGUGUAAGUCUGAAGUGAAAGCCCGGGGCUCAACCCCGGGACUGCUUUGGAAACUAUGCAGCUAGAGUGUCGGAGAGGUAAGUGGAAUUCCCAGUGUAGCGGUGAAACGCGUAGAUAUUGGGAGGAACACCAGUGGCGAAGGCGGCUUACUGGACGAUGACUGACGUUGAGGCUCGAAAGCGUGGGGAGCAAACAGGAUUAGAUACCCUGGUAGUCCACGCUGUAAACGAUGACUACUAGGUGUCGGGGAGCAAAGCUCUUCGG